GAUGAACGCUAGCUACAGGCUUAACACAUGCAAGUCGAGGGGCAGCAUUUCAGUUUGCUUGCAAACUGGAGAUGGCGACCGGCGCACGGGUGAGUAACACGUAUCCAACCUGCCGAUAACUCGGGGAUAGCCUUUCGAAAGAAAGAUUAAUACCCGAUGGUAUAAUCAGACCGCAUGGUCUUGUUAUUAAAGAAUUUCGGUUAUCGAUGGGGAUGCGUUCCAUUAGGCAGUUGGUGAGGUAACGGCUCACCAAACCUUCGAUGGAUAGGGGUUCUGAGAGGAAGGUCCCCCACAUUGGAACUGAGACACGGUCCAAACUCCUACGGGAGGCAGCAGUGAGGAAUAUUGGUCAAUGGGCGCAGGCCUGAACCAGCCAAGUAGCGUGAAGGAUGACUGCCCUAUGGGUUGUAAACUUCUUUUAUAUGGGAAUAAAGUUUUCCACGUGUGGAAUUUUGUAUGUACCAUAUGAAUAAGGAUCGGCUAACUCCGUGCCAGCAGCCGCGGUAAUACGGAGGAUCCGAGCGUUAUCCGGAUUUAUUGGGUUUAAAGGGAGCGUAGGUGGACAGUUAAGUCAGUUGUGAAAGUUUGCGGCUCAACCGUAAAAUUGCAGUUGAUACUGGCUGUCUUGAGUACAGUAGAGGUGGGCGGAAUUCGUGGUGUAGCGGUGAAAUGCUUAGAUAUCACGAAGAACUCCGAUUGCGAAGGCAGCUCACUGGACUGCAACUGACACUGAUGCUCGAAAGUGUGGGUAUCAAACAGGAUUAGAUACCCUGGUAGUCCACACAGUAAACGAUGAAUACUCGCUGUUUGCGAUAUACAGUAAGCGGCCAAGCGAAAGCAUUAAGUAUUCCACCUGGGGAGUACGCCGGCAACGGUGAAACUCAAAGGAAUUGACGGGGGCCCGCACAAGCGGAGGAACAUGUGGUUUAAUUCGAUGAUACGCGAGGAACCUUACCCGGGCUUAAAUUGCAUUUGAAUAUAUUGGAAACAGUAUAGCCGUAAGGCAAAUGUGAAGGUGCUGCAUGGUUGUCGUCAGCUCGUGCCGUGAGGUGUCGGCUUAAGUGCCAUAACGAGCGCAACCCUUAUCUUUAGUUACUAACAGGUCAUGCUGAGGACUCUAGAGAGACUGCCGUCGUAAGAUGUGAGGAAGGUGGGGAUGACGUCAAAUCAGCACGGUCCUUACGUCCGGGGCUACACACGUGUUACAAUGGGGGGUACAGAAGGCAGCUACCUGGUGACAGGAUGCUAAUCCCAAAAGCCUCUCUCAGUUCGGAUCGAAGUCUGCAACCCGACUUCGUGAAGCUGGAUUCGCUAGUAAUCGCGCAUCAGCCAUGGCGCGGUGAAUACGUUCCCGGGCCUUGUACACACCGCCCGUCAAGCCAUGAAAGCCGGGGGUACCAGAAGUACGUAACCGCAAGGAGCGUCCUAGGGUAAAACUG
rnacentral:rRNA from 1 species